rnacentral:rRNA from 1 species
GACGAACGCUGGCGGCGUGCUUAACACAUGCAAGUCGAACGAAGUGGCGAACGGGUGAGUAAUACGUGGGUAACCUGCCAUCCUUUUUGGGAUAAGCCUUGGAAACGGGGUCUAAUACCGAAUAAAGGGGGAUGGGCUCGGGGCCUAUCAGCUUGUUGGUGGGGUGAUGGCCUACCAAGGCGGUGCCGGGUGGCCGGGCUGAGAGGGAGAGCGGCCACAUGGGGACGGAGAUACUGCCCAGAGUCCUACGGGAGGCAGCAGUGGGGGAUAUUGCACAAUUGGCGAGAGCCUGAUGCAGCGACGCCGCUUGGGGGAUGAAGGCGUGCGGGUUGUAAAGCUCGUGCGCUAUCGAGCGGGUAACUGGCGAAGAAGCGCCGGCGAACUACGUGCCAGCCGCCGCGGUAAUUC